rnacentral:rRNA from 1 species
UACGGAGGGGGCUAGCGUUGUUCGGAAUUACUGGGCGUAAAGCGCACGUAGGCGGCUUUGUAAGUUAGAGGUGAAAGCCCGGGGCUCAACUCCGGAAUUGCCUUUGAAACGGGAUUGCUAGAGUCCGAGAGAGGAUGGCGGAAUUCCUAGUGUAGAGGUGAAAUUCGUAGAUAUUAGGAAGAACACCGGUGGCGAAGGCGGCCAUCUGGCUCGGUACUGACGCUCAGGCGCGAAAGCGUGGGGAGCAAACAGG